rnacentral:pre_miRNA from 1 species
AGAGGAAUAGCUGGGUCAAAUGAUAUGGUUCCAUUCCCAGAUUUCCAAGGAAUCUCCAUACUGCUUUCCAAAUUGGCUGCACCAAUUUGCAGUCUCACCAGCAAU